AACAAGCAUAUAUAUACAAUCCAACUGCCAACAUGCGUGUAUAUAUAUAUAUAUAUAUUAAUUAAGGUUUGGGUUGUUACAACUUAGGUACUGUCAAAGAAGUCCUCCUAUGGUCUAGAGAAUGCAUCAUAGUUCUUCAUACAAAGUCAAAAACAUACUAUGGGUAUCAUAAUAGUGUAUGAAUAUUUUAUAAAUAUUCUG
rnacentral:lncRNA from 1 species